rnacentral:rRNA from 1 species
GUGGGGAAUAUUGGACAAUGGGCGAAAGCCUGAUCCAGCCAUGCCGCGUGUGUGAAGAAGGUCUUCGGAUUGUAAAGCACUUUAAGUUGGGAGGAAGGGCAGUAAGUUAAUACCUUGCUGUUUUGACGUUACCGACAGAAUAAGCACCGGCUAACUUCGUGCCAGCAGCCGCGGUAAUACGAAGGGUGCAAGCGUUAAUCGGAAUUACUGGGCGUAAAGCGCGCGGAGGUGGUUUUGUAAGUUGGAGGUGAAAUCCCCGGGCUCAACCUGGGAACUGCCUGCAAAACUGCAUGACUAGAGUACGGUAGAGGGUAGUGGAAUUUCCUGUGUAGCGGUGAAAUGCGUAGAUAUAGGAAGGAACACCAGUGGCGAAGGCGACUACCUGGACUGAUACUGACACUGAGGUGCGAAAGCGUGGGGAGCAAACAGGAUUAGAUACCCUUGUAGUCC